CCAUGCUAGUCGCACGGGUUUAGACCCGUGGCAAAUAGCUCAGUAACACGUGGCCAAACUACCCUGUGGACAGGGNAUAACCUCGGGAAACUGAGGCUAAUCCCCGAUACAGCUCUCAUGCUGGAGUGCAGAGAGCUGGAAACGUUCUGGCGCCACAGGAUGUGGCUGCGGCCGAUUAGGUAGACGGUGGGGUAACGGCCCACCGUGCCUAUAAUCGGUACGGGUCAUGAGAGUGAGAACCCGGAGACGGUAUCUGAGACAAGAUACCGGGCCCUACGGGGCGCAGCAGGCGCGAAACCUUUACACUGCACGACAGUGCGAUAAGGGGACUCCGAGUGCGAGGGCAUACAGUCCUCGCUUUUCUGCACCGUAAGGUGGUACAGGAACAAGUGCUGGGCAAGACCGGUGCCAGCCGCCGCGGUAACACCGGCAGCACGAGUGAUGGCCGAUUUUAUUGGGCCUAAAGCGUCCGUAGCCGGCCAGACAAGUCCGUUGGGAAAUCGACGUGCCUAACACGUCGGCGUCCAGCGGAAACUGUCUGGCUUGGGGCCGGAAGACUCGAGGGGUACGUCCGGGGUAGGAGUGAAAUCCUGUAAUCCUGGACGGACCGCCGGUGGCGAAAGCGCCUCGAGAGGACGGACCCGACGGUCAGGGACGAAAGCUAGGGUCUCGAACCGGAU
rnacentral:rRNA from 1 species